rnacentral:rRNA from 1 species
CCUACGGGAGGCAGCAGUGGGGAAUAUUGGGCAAUGGGCGCAAGCCUGACCCAGCAACGCCGCGUGAAGGAAGAAGGCUUUCGGGUUGUAAACUUCUUUUCUCAGGGACGAAGAAAGUGACGGUACCUGAGGAAUAAGCCACGGCUAACUACGUGCCAGCAGCCGCGGUAAUACGUAGGUGGCAAGCGUUAUCCGGAUUUAUUGGGUGUAAAGGGCGUGUAGGCGGGAGCGCAAGUCAGCUGUGAAACCUCAGGGCUUAACCCUGAGCCUGCAGUUGAAACUGUGUUUCUUGAGUGCUGGAGAGGCAAGCGGAAUUCCGGGUGUAGCGGUGGAAUGCGUAGAGAUAAGGAGGAACACCAGUGGCGAAGGCGGAUUGCUGGACAGUAACUGACGCUGAGGCGCGAAAGCGUGGGGAGCAAACAGGAUUAGAUACCCCAGUAGUC